GCAGACUCCUGUGAUCUGUUCUCCAGGUUUACUUCAUCUCUUCAUCAAGAAAAGGCAAGAACCAAGAGACACGUCAGCAUCUCUGGCUUGGAACCUUAAACUUUAAAGUCACGUGGAACCUGGAAGAAUCCCCUCAUCUAAUUCAGACUCAUUUCGAAUGAAGAGGCAUGAACCCCACAGGGGGAAAAUACCUUGCUAAAGCCACCCAGCUAAUUUUUGGCAGAACCUGACACAGAUGCCAGAAGCAGGUUGUAGUCACCGAGUCAGCCAUAACUGAGUGUCUCGGACCUGAAGUCAGCAGUUGAGGGCUCCAGUCACUGUGCAUCAAAUAGCUGGGAGACCCUGGGCAAGUCAGUCGGUCUCUCUGGGCCUUGUCUUUUGUCUGAAUCAUCAGGGACUGGCUGAACUAUGGAGGCUGACCUGACCCUCAAAGGAUGUGAUAGGCCAGGUUCUGCCUGAAGCAACAACUACAGCA
rnacentral:lncRNA from 10 species